rnacentral:rRNA from 1 species
UGCAAGUCGAGCGAAUGGAUUGAGAGCUUGCUCUCAAGAAGUUAGCGGCGGACGGGUGAGUAACACGUGGGUAACCUGCCCAUAAGACUGGGAUAACUCCGGGAAACCGGGGCUAAUACCGGAUAACAUUUUGAACUGCAUGGUUCGAAAUUGAAAGGCGGCUUCGGCUGUCACUUAUGGAUGGACCCGCGUCGCAUUAGCUAGUUGGUGAGGUAACGGCUCACCAAGGCAACGAUGCGUAGCCGACCUGAGAGGGUGAUCGGCCACACUGGGACUGAGACACGGCCCAGACUCCUACGGGAGGCAGCAGUAGGGAAUCUUCCGCAAUGGACGAAAGUCUGACGGAGCAACGCCGCGUGAGUGAUGAAGGCUUUCGGGUCGUAAAACUCUGUUGUUAGGGAAGAACAAGUGCUAGUUGAAUAAGCUGGCACCUUGACGGUACCUAACCAGAAAGCCACGGCUAACUACGUGCCAGCAGCCGCGGUAAUACGUAGGUGGCAAGCGUUAUCCGGAAUUAUUGGGCGUAAAGCGCGCGCAGGUGGUUUCUUAAGUCUGAUGUGAAAGCCCACGGCUCAACCGUGGAGGGUCAUUGGAAACUGGGAGACUUGAGUGCAGAAGAGGAAAGUGGAAUUCCAUGUGUAGCGGUGAAAUGCGUAGAGAUAUGGAGGAACACCAGUGGCGAAGGCGACUUUCUGGUCUGUAACUGACACUGAGGCGCGAAAGCGUGGGGAGCAAACAG